CACAUUAUCGAUUUUUAUCUUAUCAUAAUAAAAACAAUAAUGCAUUUCAUAACAACAUAUCUCAUGAGCAUGUAUACAAUUUUUUCUUAACGAUUGUCUUUAUUAUAUUUGCAGAUGAGGAGGAGGAUGAGGAGGCUCUUUGACCUGGAGGGUGAUCGCUCACGGAGUAUCACCCCAGGUAGUGGUGCUGAUGAUCCACUACCAUCUCCGGAUGCAGAUGCUGGAUAUUCAUCACCCGGCCCCUCUGAUGCAGCACCAGAACCAUCCCCCGACGCAGCACCAGAACCAUCCCCCGACGCAGGUGCUACUUGGACCCCGACAUAUCCAUCA